CAGUAGCCGCGGGAAUACGGAGGGUGCAAGCGUUAAUCGGAAUUACUGGGCGUAAAGCGUGCGUAGGCGGUUCGUUAAGUCUGUUGUGAAAGCCCCGGGCUCAACCUGGGAAUGGCAAGGGAUACUGGCGAGCUAGAGUGUGUCAGAGGAUGGUGGAAUUCCCGGUGUAGCGGUGAAAUGCGUAGAGAUCGGGAGGAACAUCAGUGGCGAAAGCGGCUCACUGGACCAUUACUGACGCCGAGGCGCGAAAGCUAGGGGAGCAAACAGGAUUAGAUACCCCUGUAGUCCCUGUCUCUUAUAC
rnacentral:rRNA from 1 species